rnacentral:rRNA from 1 species
ANCGCGNNCUAUNCAUGCAAGUCGAGCGGACAGAUGGGAGCUUGCUCCCUGAUGUUAGCGGCGGACGGGUGAGUAACACGUGGGUAACCUGCCUGUAAGACUGGGAUAACUCCGGGAAACCGGGGCUAAUACCGGAUGCUUGUUUGAACCGCAUGGUUCAAACAUAAAAGGUGGCUUCGGCUACCACUUACAGAUGGACCCGCGGCGCAUUAGCUAGUUGGUGAGGUAACGGCUCACCAAGGCAACGAUGCGUAGCCGACCUGAGAGGGUGAUCGGCCACACUGGGACUGAGACACGGCCCAGACUCCUACGGGAGGCAGCAGUAGGGAAUCUUCCGCAAUGGACGAAAGUCUGACGGAGCAACGCCGCGUGAGUGAUGAAGGUUUUCGGAUCGUAAAGCUCUGUUGUUAGGGAAGAACAAGUACCGUUCGAAUAGGGCGGUACCUUGACGGUACCUAACCAGAAAGCCACGGCUAACUACGUGCCAGCAGCCGCGGUAAUACGUAGGUGGCAAGCGUUGUCCGGAAUUAUUGGGCGUAAAGGGCUCGCAGGCGGUUUCUUAAGUCUGAUGUGAAAGCCCCCGGCUCAACCGGGGAGGGUCAUUGGAAACUGGGGAACUUGAGUGCAGAAGAGGAGAGUGGAAUUCCACGUGUAGCGGUGAAAUGCGUAGAGAUGUGGAGGAACACCAGUGGCGAAGGCGACUCUCUGGUCUGUAACUGACGCUGAGGAGCGAAAGCGUGGGGAGCGAACAGGAUUAGAUACCCUGGUAGUCCACGCCGUAAACGAUGAGUGCUAAGUGUUAGGGGGUUUCCGCCCNUAAUGCUGCAGCUANCGCAUUAAGCACUCCNCCUGGGGAGUACGGUCCCANACUGAACUUAGGNAAUUUUNGCGGGA